rnacentral:rRNA from 1 species
AACGAACGCUGGCGGCAGGCCCUACACAUGCAAGUCGAACGGACCCUUCGGGGUUAGUGGCGCACGGGUGAGUAACGCGUGGGAACGUGCCCUUAGGUACGGAACAACAGUUGGAAACGACUGCUAAUACCGUAUGAUGACGUAAGUCCAAAGAUUUAUCGCCUAAGGAUCGGCCCGCGUUAGAUUAGAUAGUUGGUGAGGUAAUGGCUCACCAAGUCUACGAUCUAUAGCUGGUCUCAGAGGAUGAUCAGCCACACUGGAACUGAGACACGGUCCAGACUCCUACGGGAGGCAGCAGUGAGGAAUAUUGGACAAUGGGCGAAAGCCUGAUCCAGCCAUGCCGCGUGAAUGAUGAAGGCCUUAGGGUUGUAAAGUUCUUUUAGUAGUGAAGAUGAUGACGGUAACUACAGAAAAAGCUCCGGCUAACUUCGUGCCAGCAGCCGCCGUAA